ACUCAGUGAUUGACCGGAGCAGUCGAAAUUGCACAGUGAACCAAUGGAUGGGGCUUGGGGUUAUCGAUUGUUUUUGUUUUGAUUUGUAAACGUUGAAUGCAACAACUUUUUAAUUCGAUCGUGUCCAGUGAAACAGUACGCAAGUGUUUUUUCGUUCCUGCUUCGUUCGGUGAAUCGCCCGCUGUUGUGAUUCACUGGUUAAAGGGUGUAAAUCAGCAAUGGCGAAUAAUUGGUACUAUAUCGAUGGUCAGAAAUGUUUUCCUUUACGCGGCGGUGCUAAGAUGUUUGUUUCACACGACAGUAAGAAACGCUGUGCCUCUCGGUAUCCUGAAUACGUGAACUUCCCAGUGCGACUGAAUUCGCUCGAUCUCGUACAGCUUAAGUGGAAUCCGGUGCAAAUACGAUUACUGGCACUGGAGGGAUUCUUCUACCCCGGACCAUAUGAUUCCAAGCCAAAGUGCUUCUGCUGUGGGUUGGUUGCUUACACGGUAGGCAACACCAACCAGCCGUACCAGAUUCAUGCCAACAACGGUGGACCUCCGGAUGGGGAUUGUGGAUACUUGGAGCACGUGAUGAACCGUGAGACUUGUUUCGAUAUGGGCGGUGGAGAAGCUGGAUGGAAACCAUGCAUGGAUUGCAAGCUGUGUUCCUGGGAGUUUGAAAUGAUAUAAUGAAAUCGAAAUGUAUCACAACAACAGUGUUAGAGUAGAGCGCUAUUCCUAAUAAAGUACACAGAAAAAAAUCUUGAAAUAUCAUAAAUAUUUGUUGCACAUCAGUCGCGUCGUAAAAGUGAUAUACAAAUUACAUCCUUUCCGCGCAGUAAAUUGGCCGCCGCUGCUUGCAAAUGGCCCAGCCAGCACACGAUUGCAUAUGAUGUUGAAAUGGAUGCUAAAGUGGAUCCGAUAUGCGUACACUUCACACAGGGUUAAAUGGUAGCAUGUACGUAUAUGGCCUCCACUUUGGCAUCAGGUAUCAGGUAUCAGUAGGUCGUCUCCAGAGGCACGUUCUCCUCCAUGUGGGAAGUUUGUGUCAUCGCCAUGAACACGAGCCUAUUCAUCAUUUACCUGAGGGAGAAGGGAAGAAAAAAUGGAUGGGACAGGGAAAAGAACUGGUAAAGGAAUAGGAUCGUCAUACACGCAUAAGCGUUCUACAAUGGGUUCAAAUAGCGCCCUGAGAAGGGCACUGUGAUAACGCAUAAAGCGUAAAGUGUUUACCGAGUACUCGGAAACGCAGUUACACAACAACUGCAGAGUUGCAUAUCAAAUGAUACGAACACAGAGAAACAGACGUAACUCUUAGAAUACAUUUCAUUGAAAAACAUCGUCAUCAGGACAAAACCGCCCAAUGCUAAACGUACUGCGGUUGGCCAGGCCAUCACUAGGUGCUGGUAGUGAGCAAGCGUCAAACAGGUGCAAAAACGACGCCAGCGCAGCGAGUGGUCAAUCGACCUACUAACGGAAAUCUGAAUCAACCGUUUAAAAGGUGAUCGAUGGGAAGCGAGCGGAGGGUGACGUCUGUUUCUCUGUGAUACAAAGUUCCAGAAUCGGAUUCACAAAUAUCACAAACAAAUGAAUCAGCUUGCAGAAUAUUCGCCAUGUGAUAGCUGAGUCGGCAGUGGCCAAUCAAUGCUUUGACCAGAAUGCUGCAAUUCUGCUUUGGCAGAUUUGUAAGAUACUUCGCCACCCUUGGAUGUAGCUCAGUACAAUACAAUUUAGUUUGACGACAUGACUCCAAACUAUUCCAGUAUUGUUUGUGCUGAGUGGCAGCUCAGGUGUCAAUCAGAAGCUUAACCCAAUACUUUGAUAUCGGAAUAGCUGGCUUAGAGCUUAUGAAGUCAUGUGAUGAUCCAGUGCGAGCUAACUCAUCAGCCAUUUCAUUUCCAGCGAUGGAAGAAUGGCCAGGUACCCAUACAUGGUGAACAGUGUUUGGUGAAUUCAGCUCCUCGAUUUGAGUUCGACAAGCGAUGACUAUCUUCGACCUAGAGUUGGCCGAAGCAAGUGCAUUAAUAGCAGCCUGGCUAUCUAAACUUAAGUAUAUUACUUCGCCCAUUACAUGCUGCUGAAGUGCUGAUUGCACUCCGCACAUAAGAGCAAAGAUUUCGGUCUGAAAAACGGUGCAGUGUCUACCAAGUGAAUAAGACUGAUGCAGCCUGAGCUCAAGAGAAUAGACACCAGCACCUGCUCGACCUUCGAGAACGGAGCCAUCAGUGUAACAUACGAUGCCGUCUGAAAUACUUCUUUCCAGAUAUCCAGAUGUCCACUCAUCCCGGGAAGGGAAUUUCGUGGAAAAUGUCCUAUAUGGAAAAUUAAGCAAUUGUAAGAUCACUUGGAGCAAGAACAACUUUGUCCCAAUCUACCAAAAGUGGAAACAACGAGGUGUGUGUUGAUCUGCAGUUCACAGGAGUUUCCUCUAGCAAACCGUGUACCCAUAGACGGUAAGUGCAAGAAAGUGAUUCUUGUUUAAGAUGAACGUGUAGUGGGACAACGUCAAAGAGAACUUCGAGCGCUGCCGUAGAAGUUGAAGAGAACGCUCCGGACAUCGCCAUUACCCGAGCAGAAAUGAAUAACAACAAAAUAACAUAUCGAGAUAUUAAUCUUAAAUAACAUUAUACCUCGAUAUGCCCUUCAUUAGGUGGGCUUAAGAGGCAAAAUAAAAAAAAAAUGAAUACCAUAAUUUUGCAUAAAUAACACCUAAAAAUAGCAAGUCUUGUUAUUUCAAUAAUGAUUGUAUACCAUAAUUUUAAAAGCUAUAUUUGUUAUCCAGAAGGUAUGAAAAAAACAAACUAAUAACAUUUCAUGCCAUUAAAUGGAACAUUUUUGAGUAGUUCCAUGAUAUAAUAACAAAUCUUGUUCUUGAGUUAUUUUGCCAGCUAAAUCAGUAAUACCACAUCAAUACCUAACUUUGCACAAAUACCUCCAAUUGUUAUUAUGGUGUUCUCAUAACAUUGCGUAGAAUAAUAUAGCAAUACCAACUUAAGGUAUUAGAGCACAGGUUGGUCUUUGCACGGAAUUUGUAAGGUAUGUCCUUCUGCUCGGGUAAGCAAAUCUUUUGAAGAUGGCCUAACUUUGAUUGGAUCGUUCUCACUUCGCCCUUUUGCCACCACACAAGACAUCCAUAGGCCAAUAUUAGACGAACAACAGUUGUGUAAAUCCUUUUGAUAUACUUGGGUUUUAGACCCCAAGUUGUACCAAAAGGUUUGCCGGCAUUGCCCGAAGGCCAUACAAGCUUUCUUGAUUCUGAACUCAACAUAAGCUGUCCAGAAAAGCUUUGAAUCAAGAAUGACUCCAACGUACUUUACCUGUUCAGUCACAUUGAUUUCAUAAUCAGAGACACGUAAAGGUCAAACACCAUUACGGUUUCGCUUUUCCGUGAAAAGAACAAUAGAUGUACUUGGAUUUACCGAAAGGCCAUAUUGGCGACACCUCAACUACCUGAAGAGCGUUUUGCAUCAGGUCGAAAAGGGUGCUGAUGCACAAACACUCAAUUUCCUAACCGCUGCUUGACGCAAUGUCGCGAAGAGAUGUCGGUUUUUGAGCAUUUGGUGAAUCCAAUUGGAAAUCAUUGGAGAUAGACCAUGACCCCGUGCGGCUUCCAAUAUGGCAUCGAAAGGCACGUUGUCAAUGGCACCCUCGAUAUCUAAGAAAACACCCAAACAAGAUUAGUUUUGAGUGAAUACUUUCUCAAUGUUGUUAACAACCUUGUGUAAAAGAGUCACAGUGGACUUUCAAGAUUGGUAAGCAUGUUGGUUCACAAGAAGAGGCACGU